UCUCUGCGGUAGUUUCAUGAGUUAAUGGAACCUGGAGAGGCUGUAGGGAAGUAAUCGGGAUCAGAUGAGGUCUCAGGAAUGGGGUCUCCUAGGACGACCUCAGGGGAAAAGCUUACCGUAGCUCCCUUCCCAUGUUAGUGUGUAGCACAAGGCCCCUGGCAGGCGCCAGAGCCAUGCCUCCAACAGCUGUGGGCUGAACACAUUACCAUUACUAUUUCGUUCUUUGUCACUCACUUAGUCUCGGGAUUUUUGUUAUGAAAAAAGAAAAAUGGACUAAGGUACACGUUCACCAAUUGAAAGGAAUAAAAUGAAGCCAAAUCCCAGCCAAAUCCUUCACUGCACCAGGACAGCUCUGGAUUGUGCAACCCAGUAAGAAGAAGACUAACCACACUUUUAGAAUGAACGUUAAUUUAUCUCUCCCUGUGCUCACAGCCUGACCAGAUGACAUUGUACAGCAGAAGCAUCUGACAUUUCUGAAUAGGUUUCCUCCUGGUGGUCUGGGUGCAUUCUUCCCACUGUCUCCCAGCAGCAAGCGCAUCCGACGUGCUCGAGGGUAGAUUAUGACUUCUCUUCAACUGGCUCCUAGGGCCAAAGGUAGGGUUAGAAAGAGACCGCUUUGCAGACAUUGGUGCCCUCUACUGGUCACGCCAAGAUAUGCAGCUUCAAGGGAGACUGGCGCAGGCAAAUCAAAAUCAACUCAUAACACAGUUCCUCAGCUUCAGGUGUUGACCGGAACCAGGAACCAGGGCUCAGUUAACUCACCAGAUGGAUCGUGGCAGGUCAGAUGAGUCUCUGUGGUUCUCUCGGGCUCCCACCCAUCACAGGCUCGCAGCCACCUGAUGUUAGCCCCUGCUCCCAACACCAUGUCCAGUCCACACAAGACUGUGUUCAAAGUUCGAGACCUUAGACAUCCCGCAUAGGUGCGUGGAAAAUCGUGUGACGGAAUGCAGAUCUGGACCGAGGCAGCCAGCUUCCACAUCUAUGAAAAGCCACCAAUCCCUUCACCGCCCUGGAGGCAGCCCACAGGGGCCUUCACCCCAUCACCCAUCUGCGUCUUCCCGGUGCCGGUACAGACCUGAGACGGUGAGCGCUUCGCUAAGGAUCUGGUAAACUUACGAAGACAACUUUCUGCUUCCUGGUCAUCCACUGGUCACUUCAAAACAUUGCUUCAGAGUCCUGCAGAGCUUCAAACUGUGGGCGAAUUUCAUUCUCUGAGGGCUACAGUUCCCAUCCAUUACCCCUGCAUGCAUCGUCUGUGAUGAACACUCAGUUCUUGGGAAACCAUCAUAUUCAUGGUUGGUGGAUACAGAUUCUCCAAAAUUCUAAUGUUCACCUGAGAGAGCAAAUGUUUUAAGCACUGGCCACCAAUGCUGUCCUUUUCCUCUGGAGGAGACAUACUCCCUUUAUUGUCUCUAAAGAAAAUGUCUACUGCAUACUCGAGUCUGAAUAGUGUCAGCUGCGUUCUCGGUGAGAUGGCCGGCCACACAGGAAGGAGCUGCCUUAACACAGAAGCUGCUCUCACACUUUUUUUCCCCUCGGCAUAACCGUCCUGGAAACACAAUAAAAUACUUAAUGUGUGCA